AGAGUUUGAUCCUGGCUCAAAAUCAACGCUGGCGGCGUGCCUAACACAUGCAAGUCGAACGCGGUUUUCCCCGCAGGGGGAAAACUGAGUGGCAAACGGGUGAGUAACACGUGGGUGACCUGCCUUCGAGUGGGGGAUAACGUCCCGAAAGGGACGCUAAUACCGCAUGACAUCCUGCUUUUGGAAAAGCGGAGAUCAAAGCCGGGGAUUCGCAAGAACCUGGCGCUUGAAGAGGGGCCCGCGCCUGAUUAGCUAGUUGGUGAGGUAACGGCUCACCAAGGCUACGAUCAGUAUCCGGCCUGAGAGGGCGGACGGACACACUGGGACUGAGACACGGCCCACACUCCUACGGGAGGCAGCAGUGGGGAAUUGUUCGCAAUGGGCGCAAGCCUGACGACGCAACGCCGCGUGGAGGAUGAAUAUUUUCGGAUCGUACACUCCUGUCGAGUGAGAAGAAUAGCUUCCGGGCGAAUAUCCCGGGAGUCUGACGGUACCACUAAAGGAAGCCCCGGCUAACUCCGUGCCAGCAGCCGCGGUAAUAACGGGGGGGGGGCAAGCCGUUGUUCGGAAUUACUGGGGCGUAAAGGGCUCGUACGCGGCCAACUA
rnacentral:rRNA from 1 species